AGGGGAUCUUCCCAACCAGUGGAUUGAACCUGUGUUUGCCUGCGUCUCCUGCCUUGCUGUUGGAUUCUUUACCCACUGAGCCACCAGGGAAGUCCAUAAAAAUCAUCAAAUCGCCCUGGAACAAUUUGCCACUCAGAGUGCUGGUAGAUUCAAAGGGAGAUGGGGAGAGAGGACACCCAUGGGCAGUGGCCAGGACAAGGAGACCAGAGUGGGUGCUGACACCCUUUCUGGGUCUUGAGAAACUUGGAGUCAGCUGUGUCCAGUUUGAGCUGGUUGAGACUGGCUAAGACAACGGACCCUCCCAAUGGGCAUGUGCCAGUGUCCUCUCUGUGACCUUUGACGUCAGAGGGCCAGGAGCUCCACCCUGAAAACAUGGCGACACCACAAGUUCUGGGCAUGCAGGCCUGGUUACAUCUGCACAGAACGAUGAUGAUCACAGCUUUUCCUUAUUUCCACUUACCUUUCCCCAGGCUCCACACACAUUACAGCUCCAUCCCAUAAUUAUCCCAAGCCCCUCGCUUUCGGAAAGGUGGGUUUGGGAUCAGCUAUCCCAUCUCCUCUCUUGGCUGCAGUGUGAAUAAACUCUUUGCUGCAAACCUCAGUGUCUCAGCCCUUGGCUUGCUGCACAUUGGGUCUUUUUCUAUAGGCAUGAGCAAUUUAGAGAUUUAAUGCUUGGACAGCUUUGAAGUGAGAGCCGAAAAUAGGACCCUCCUUUCAUCUUGACAACGAUAAAACUAUGAUGUGAAGAGAGAGAUUUCUGGCCAUAUCCAAUUUUUUGCUAGUCUUCAGUCCUCCUUUUACUCUUGCUUGCAUUUAUGUGUUCUCAAAUUGCACUGGAGAUUCAGAAGCAGAUCAGUGAAUUUAUCUGCAUACAACAGUGUCUCGAACAGUCAUUUUAUGGCUUUGUGAAAGCAUCAUCUGAAAAUAUGGUUGUUCUUUUAAAAUAUCAUGACACAAGCUUGUGCAAAUGCAUUCAACUGUAUUUAGCUGCUGUAGAAUAAUUUAAAUUGUCUAAUCUUCCAAAUUAGAAGAGUAGUAAAGCUGAUGAGAACUAGCCACAAGGUGAGGCAUGGUGAUGAUAAUAUUUACCUGUGUCUUAUCUAUUUUUUAAAAAUGUAAUAGUUCUCUGUUGGUUGUAUAAAAUUUUAUAAGACAUAAUUGAACUCAUUCUAAAGUCAUUGUAAUAAACAUUUUAUAUUCUUA